rnacentral:rRNA from 1 species
CAGCAGCCGCGGGAAUACGUAGGUGGCAAGCGUUGUCCUGAAUUAUUGGGCGUAAAGGGCUCGCAGGCGGUUUCUUAAGUCUGAUGUGAAAGCCCCCGGCUCAACCGAGGAGGGUCAUUGGAAACUGGGAAACUUGAGUGCAGAAGAGGAGAGUGGAAUUCCACGUGUAGCGGUGAAAUGCGUAGAGAUGUGGAGGAACACCAGUGGCGAAGGCGACUCUCUGGUCUGUAACUGACGCUGAGGAGCGAAAGCGUGGGGAGCGAACAGGAUUAGAGACCCGCGUAGUCCCUGUCUCUUAUAC